rfam:Brachypodium distachyon strain Bd21 chromosome 1, whole genome shotgun sequence.
UUGUUACUCCCUCCGUUCCAUAAUUCUUGUCUCAAAUUUGCCCAAAUAUGGAUGUAUCUAUUCCUAAAAAGCGUCUAGAUAUAUGUAAUAUUUCGACAAGAAUUAUGAAACGGAGGGAGUAUAAC